rnacentral:rRNA from 1 species
AGCGAACGCUGGCGGCAGGCCUAACACAUGCAAGUCGAACGAACCUUUCGGGGUUAGUGGCGGACGGGUGAGUAACACGUGGGAACGUGCCUUUAGGUUCGGAAUAACUCAGGGAAACUUGUGCUAAUACCGAAUGUGCCCUUCGGGGGAAAGAUUUAUCGCCUUUAGAGCGGCCCGCGUCUGAUUAGCUAGUUGGUUGAGGUGAUGGCUCACCAAGGCGACGAUCAGUAGCUGGUCUGAGAGGAUGAUCAGCCACAUUGGGACUGAGACACGGCCCAAACUCCUACGGGAGGCAGCAGUGGGGAAUCUUGCGCAAUGGGCGAAAGCCUGACGCAGCCAUGCCGCGUGAAUGAUGAAGGUCUUAGGAUUGUAAAAUUCUUUCACCGGGGACGAUAAUGACGGUACCCGGAGAAGAAGCCCCGGCUAACUUCGUG